GAAAUGCGAUAAGUAAUGUGAAUUGCAGAAUUCAGUGAAUCAUCGAAUCUUUGAACGCACAUUGCGCUCGCCAGUAUUCUGGCGAGCAUGCCUGUUCGAGCGUCAUUUCAACCAUCAAGCUCUGCUUGCGUUGGGGAUCCGCGUCUGACGCGGUCCCUCAAAAACAGUGGCGGGCUCGCUAGUCACACCGAGCGUAGUAACUCUACAUCGCUAUGGUCGUGCGGCGGGUUCUUGCCGUAAAACCCCCAAUUUCUAAGGUUGACCUCGGAUCAGGUAGGAAUACCCGCUGAACUUAA
rnacentral:misc_RNA from 1 species